rnacentral:rRNA from 1 species
GACGAACGCUGGCGGCGUGCCUAAUACAUGCAAGUAGAACGCUGAAGGAGGAGCUUGCUUCUCUGGAUGAGUUGCGAACGGGUGAGUAACGCGUAGGUAACCUGCCUGGUAGCGGGGGAUAACUAUUGGAAACGAUAGCUAAUACCGCAUAAGAGUAGAUGUUGCAUGACAUUUACUUAAAAGGUGCAAUUGCAUCACUACCAGAUGGACCUGCGUUGUAUUAGCUAGUUGGUGAGGUAACGGCUCACCAAGGCAACGAUACAUAGCCGACCUGAGAGGGGGGUCGGCCACACUGGGACUGAGACACGGCCCAGACUCCUACGGGAGGCAGCAGUAGGGAAUCUUCGGCAAUGGACGGAAGUCUGACCGAGCAACGCCGAGUGAGUGAAGAAGGUUUUCGGAUCGUAAAGCUCUGUUGUAAGAGAAGAACGAGUGUGAGAGUGGAAAGUUCACACUGUGACGGUAUCUGACCAGAAAGGGACGGCUAACUACGUG